rnacentral:lncRNA from 1 species
CAGGGUAGUGAGAACAAGAAUCUUACUUAUCCUCUUUGCGAAGAGUGUGGUAGGAAUCACCUAGGCACAUGUACAGUAGGCACUAAGGUAUGUUUUAGAUGUCGUAAGACAGGCCAUAGGCUGCGAGAAUGUAAAGUAAGGGUUCAAAGGGGAAAAGAUUUGUGACAGUAGGGAGUCACUUCCUGUACCACUAGUAGUUAGCGUCAAAAUAGAUUUUAUGCACUUCAGACUCACCAUGAUCAGGAAAAUCCCCUAGCAUAGUUCAGGUACAUUAUGAGUCUUUCAUCUUCAUGAUUUUCUUUGUUAGACCCUUUUCU